ACUAUGAUCCUAUGGAUCCUCUAUACGCACACGUUCGGACGGCCGAACCGCUAGCGU
rnacentral:ncRNA from 1 species